AUACGGAGGGUGCAAGCGUUAAUCGGAAUUACUGGGCGUAAAGAGUACGUAGGCGGUCCGUUAAGUUAGAUGUGAAAGCCCCGGGCUUAACCUGGGAACUGCAUUUAAAACUGGCGAACUAGAGUUGAGUAGAGGGGAGUGGAAUUUCAGGUGUAGCGGUGAAAUGCGUAGAGAUCUGAAGGAACACCAGUGGCGAAGGCGACUCCCUGGACUCGAACUGACGCUGAGGUACGAAAGCGUGGGUAGCAAACGGGAUUAGAAACCCGAGUAGUCC
rnacentral:rRNA from 1 species